AGCUUUGCCUAGUGGCAGUAGUGUAGCCAAUGAGGUUUACUGAGGCGCGAUUAUUGCUAAUAGAUAUAUAAAAAUUAUAGUUUGUGAAAUUAUCAGAAACAGAAUACAACAUAAUUUAUGUUUGAUACUGCACAAU